AUUGAACGCUGGCGGCAUGCCUUACACAUGCAAGUCGAGCGGCAGCACGGACUUCGGCCUGGUGGCGAGUGGCGAACGGGUGAGUAAUAUAUCGGAACAUACCUUGUAGUGGGGGAUAACUAUCCGAAAGGAUAGCUAAUACCACAUACGCUCUAUGGAGGAAAGCGGGGGAUCGUAAGACCUCGUGCUAUAAGAGUGGCCGAUAUCUGAUUAGCUAGUUGGUGAGGUAAAGGCUCACCAAGGCGACGAUCAGUAGCUGGUCUGAGAGGACGACCAGCCACACUGGAACUGAGACACGGUCCAGACUCCUACGGGAGGCAGCAGUGGGGAAUUUUGGACAGUGGGGGCAACCCUGAUCCAGCAAUGCCGCGUGAGUGAAGAAGGCCUUCGGGUUGUAAAGCUCUUUUGUCAGGGAAGAAACGGUUGUGGCUAAUAUCCAUGGCUAAUGACGGUACCUGAAGAAUAAGCACCGGCUAACUACGUGCCAGCAGCCGCAGUAA
rnacentral:rRNA from 1 species